GAACGCUGGCGGCGUGCCUAAUACCUGCAAGUCGAGCGAUCAGACGAGGAGCUUGCUCCUCUGACGUUAGCGGCGGACGGGUGAGUAACACGUGGAUAACCUACCUAUAAGACUGGGAUAACUUCGGGAAACCGGAGCUAAUACCGGAUAAUAUAUUGAACCGCAUGGUUCAAUAGUGAAAGACGGUUUUGCUGUCACUUAUAGAUGGAUCCGCGCCGCAUUAGCUAGUUGGUAAGGUAACGGCUUACCAAGGCAACGAUGCGUAGCCGACCUGAGAGGGUGAUCGGCCACACUGGAACUGAGACACGGUCCAGACUCCUACGGGAGGCAGCAGUAGGGAAUCUUCCGCAAUGGGCGAAAGCUUGACGGAGCAACGCCGCGUGAGUGAUGAAGGUCUUCGGAUCGUAAAACUCUGUUAUUAGGGAAGAACAAAUGUGUAAGUAACUAUGCACGUCUUGACGGUACCUAAUCAGAAAGCCACGGCUAACUACGUG
rnacentral:rRNA from 1 species